GAUGAACGCUGGCGGCGUGCCUAAUACAUGCAAGUCGAGCGAACAGACGAGGAGCUUGCUCCUCUGACGUUAGCGGCGGACGGGUGAGUAACACGUGGAUAACCUACCUAUAAGACUGGGAUAACUUCGGGAAACCGGAGCUAAUACCGGAUAAUAUCUUGAACCGCAUGGUUCAAUAGUGAAAGACGGUUUUGCUGUCACUUAUAGAUGGAUCCGCUCCGCAUUAGCUAGUUGGUAAGGUAACGGCUUACCAAGGCAACGAUGCGUAGCCGACCUGAGAGGGUGAUCGGCCACACGGGAACUGAGACACGGUCCAGACUCCUACGGGAGGCAGCAGUAGGGAAUCUUCCGCAAUGGGCGAAAGCCUGACGGAGCAACGCCGCGUGAGUGAUGAAGGUCUUCGGAUCGUAAAACUCUGUUAUUAGGGAAGAACAAAUGUGUAAGUAACUAUGCACGUCUUGACGGUACCUAAUCAGAAAGCCACGGCUAACUACGUG
rnacentral:rRNA from 1 species